UGAUCCUAUAUAAUUAUCUACGAACAGACUAAUUCUCUAGCUCUAAAGCAAUUUUCUUUGAAAUUGUCUAGUCUGUGAUAAAGAUUUGACAUAAUUGAUUAAACAGGAGAAACAAAAACAGAGGAUAACUAAGGAAGAUUAUACUGACGUCGGCCUGAAGUUUCUCCUGAUAGAAGGCCAUGUCACCGAUUCGAAGUCACCAGCACGCAUCCCCGAAGGCUCUACAACAUCUCCAUCUUCGCUGAAUAUGGAAGAACAAAUAGAAGCCCCAUCGAGUAAUAGAACCACGAGUGUUCCUGUAAUUGCCAACAAGACAUGGACGAAACAUGGAAUUAGCAGCAGGGAGACGAGUGAUGACAUUGCGAUUCCAAAUCACCACGCCCAGGCAGGGUCUCUUGCUAUUUAUAGUAUACCCGAGCCGCCUGUCAAGACAAAAGAACCUUCAAAAUACUGGGAUCCAACGGUGUUUUACUGCACCAUGCUCAUCGUAUCCUGGACAAUUGUUACCGUCUGUUUGGUGAGGAACUGCCUAUGCCCUGCUCUGAAAGAGGACUGGAAAAAUUUCUGUGUUUGCUGCUAAAUAACAUCAGCAGCAGACCCAGGAUUUUUGACAAGGGGUGGGAGUCUGAAUUCUCUAACAAGGCACCUGCCCCGUCCCCCAUUUUUUGUUGGGGGGGGGGGUCUCAAAUUUUUGCUGGGGCACAAUUUGUUCGGGGUACCAUGAAUGGGAAUACUGUGAUCUAUCAUAAAGAGGAUUCAUCAGGAAGGUGGAGAAGAAGAAGAAGAAGAAGAAGAAGAAGAAGAAGAAGAAGA